rnacentral:lncRNA from 1 species
UUAUUUUGUUUCAAAUUACUUAUUUAUUUUAUUUUACGAUAAUUCUUUUUGCUAUUAAAUUUUCAUGCAUUUACUGAUUAUUUUAUUUUGUUUCUCUUUCGAAGUAUCAGGAUUUCAUACGGAAACCCGUCUGUUACAAAAGGAUUUUUUUUGAACUUAUUUGAACUCCAUAGUUUUUCUAUGUUCAAAAUGCACCAUUCAAAGCCACAUCAUCAAUUUUCAACCCUUUCUGACUUCAUUUGUUAUUUUUCAUGCAUUUACUGAUUUUUUCAGCUAUAAGACCCUGAAAUUGAAAAGCAUUUCAAAUGAACUAUGAAAAGGUUAAAAGUUGGCAUUGGUAUCACCAUUUCACCCACAUAGCAUGUGCAAGAAAGUAGAGAGGCUUACGGCAAAAACUCGAUGCACUUCGUGUACAAAACGGACAAUCUCUUUCGAAGUAUCAGGGUUUAAUACGGAAACUCGUCUGUUACAAAAGGAUUUCAUUUUUUUUUGAACUUAUUUGAACUCCAUAGUUUUUCUAUGUUCAAAAUGCACCAUUCAAAGCCACAUCAUCAAUUUUCAACCCUUUCUGACUUCAUUUGUUAUUUUUCAUGCAUUUACUGAUUUUUUUCAGCUAUAAGACCCUGAAAUUGAAAAGCACUACAAAUGAACAUGGAUAGAUAAGUGACCAAAUUAAUACUAGUUCAUCAUCACAUUAAAACCAAAGUAUAUACAUAGUUCAAAUUGAACAACAUAUAGCUCUCCAGAGCAUCUAGUUGAAACCUUUCAAUGCAACAACAAAUGCGAUCAUAAUCACAACUAAGGUAACAAUUGAUCCAACAGCAUAAUGAUACCAAGCCUCGGUAUGAAUGGCAUAUUUUCUAAUCUUUCUAAUCUUCAAC